AGCAGCCGCGGUAAUUCCAGCUCCAAUAGCGUAUAUUAAAGUUGUUGCAGUUAAAAAGCUCGUAGUUGAAUUUCGGGGUCAGUAGGUUGGUCAUGCCACUGGUAUGUACUGGCCUCACUGAUUCCUCCUUCCUGAUGAGCCGUAAUGCCAUUAAUUUGGUGUUGCGAGGAAUCUGGACUGUUACUUUGAAAAAAUUAGAGUGUUUAAAGCAGGCUAACGCUUGAAUACAUUAGCAUGGAAUAAUGAAAUAGGACGUUCGAUCUUAUUUUGUUGGUUUCUAAGAUUGACGUAAUGAUUAAUAGGGAUAGUUGGGGGCAUUAGUAUUCAAUUGUCAGAGGUGAAAUUCUUGGAUUUAUUGAAGACUAACUACUGCGAAAGCAUUUGCCAAGGAUGUUUUCAUUAAUCAAGAACGAAAGUUAGGGGAUCGAAGACGAUCAGAUACCGUCGUAGUCUUAACCAUAAACUAUGCCGACUAGGGAUCGGAUGAUGUUAAUUUUUUAAUGUACUCU
rnacentral:rRNA from 1 species